rnacentral:rRNA from 1 species
GACGAACCGUCCAAACGUUAUUCGGAAUUACUGGGCUUAAAGGGUGCGCAGGCGGCGCGGAAAGUUGGGUGUGAAAUCCCUCGGCUCAACCGAGGAACUGCGCCCAAAACUACCGUGCUUGAGGGAGACAGAGGUAAGCGGAACUUAGGGUGGAGCGGUGAAAUGCGUUGAUAUCCUAAGGAACACCAGUGGCGAAAGCGGCUUACUGGGUCUCUUCUGACGCUGAUGCGCGAAAGCUAGGGGAGCAAACGGG